rnacentral:rRNA from 1 species
CGGGACGCCACCAAGGCGACGAUGCGUAGCCGACCUGAGAGGGUGACCGGCCACACUGGGACUGAGACACGGCCCAGACUCCUACGGGAGGCAGCAUG